rnacentral:lncRNA from 1 species
AUCGAAUGUCACAUCUUUACUAUAUAACAGGAGUUCUAUACAAAAUAAAUAAAUAAUUUCAUUAUAAGGAGACAACGGUCCAGCAACCCAAAGUUGACUGGGAGACGAUGGCCUAGACCUCUCACGAACUCGCCACAGCAUCCUCCAUGCGCCUCAUCCUGCGGUACCUGUUCUUGACCUGUGGGGGGGGGUGUGAGACAACAAGAGUGAGCUCACAUACGUUCAUCGCUCAACAAGUUGUGGGGAAUAAUGUGAAUGAACUCGCCAAAGAUGGGAGCUCAUGUGAAGUGUAAGGCUUACCAAAGAGGAUGGUUAGAGCUGAGCAUUGCUUUUAAAGUUGGUCAAAGUUUUAUUAGCAAUUACUAAGUAUAAGUAAAUACCAACCCAAUUAAAUAGUAGAACAGAAGUAACAUCACCUGCGAUGCAAUGCAUAUGACAAAUUGAAUUUAGUUCCAUAAGUUAAUCAUGUGAGGGUCCGAGCCGCUCAUGACCGUGAGCACGGCUAGUAUACCAGUUUUACACUCUGCAGAGGUUGCGCAUCUUUACCCACAAGUCAUGUUACCCAUCUGCCAAGGGAUCGCGACUUCCCAUACACCUCUACCGAGGAGGCGAGGCAGGGUAACACUACGAGGCCUUUACAAAGUUCCACUAGCUUCAGAAAACCCGCUACAGUUUAUAGGAAGCUCCAAUGCAGGAAUCCCUUGCAGGACCGCCAUCGCAGCAAAAUCCUCCCGAGGGCCUCCCUACACUGACCACUCCCCUACUGCCCUUGCCCCUUUCAGGUAAGGUAGUCUUCCACUAGCUUUCCUAAUUAAUCAGCCAAGGGCGUCCCAUUAAACCCUUGUGGUAGCACUGUUUUCCCGGGUGGUCGCUCCAUGUUCCAAUUAACAUAAUGAUCCUAUCAUGAACAGAAAUAAUAAACUGAUAAUAAAAGUGUAAUCAUGAAUAAUGUAUCUUCAUACCCAAAACCACAUAAAGCACUAGCAAGUACUACCCAAAAAGUUCAGUGGUAAACAAGGUAUAAAGAUAAUCAAACUAGGGUAACCUAUUGGGUCCCAUCAAAAUUAACCUAUGCAGAUCAUUAUGAUUAAUCAGAACAUGAGUAGGUAAAAAGAAGUGAUCAAGGGCACAACUUGCCUGGGACUUGAGAUUCCAGGUACCAACUUGCUCUUCAGCUGACUCGUGACCUCACUGCUAAACGUAGCAAUACAGACAAACAUUGUAUAGGCAAAAUUAACAUCACACUAAACAUAAGAACAAAUUGUAUAAUAAUGAUCUACGCGUCACUACGAGAUCGUGGGAUCGAGAACCACUAAAUUUGGGGUUACGGUUAUGAAGUUAUGGCUUUCCGAAGAUCCACGUGGUUAAGCACUUAAAACUAGACCUUAUGUUUAUUUAAUAGAUCAUAUGAGAGAAUAACCUAAAUGAAUAUUUAAUUCAACUUUAAGUUAAAUCAUAAUAUAAUUAGGGAUCAUAUUUUAGCCAAACUAUAAUUAUAAAUAGAUUAACUUUGAUUUCAGAGAGGUUAAUCUAGUAAACAUAGGUUAAAUGAAUAUCUAACUAUAAGUAUCAGAUAUGGUAUAAUUAAUGUUUUUAGUAUGUAGAGAAUAUUUUUAUGAAGCUAACGCAACUGGAACGGAGUAAAACAGAUUUAAAACGAGUAAGUUAUGCCAUAAACAAAUUUCUAGGUUUCCUAAUUAUUUAUUUUAACUCUGUAACGGUUUCUAGGGGUAUAUUUAAAAAGUCCAGGGACCCUAUUGUAAGUUUUACCUAAUACCGAGGAUGGCGGGUUUAUUAUGUGAAAACCGAGGGGCUCUUUAGAAAGUUUGCCUCGGCGAAGGGGUACGGGGAAACCAGAGUCGUUGGAUUAUAAUCCGAGGGUUCGGAUUAGAUCUUCAUCAGUUAUGAAGCGGUAUGACACGCGGACCGAUGGAUCGGUGAUCGACGGCCGAGAGUUAAAUAAAUGGAACUCGAUCCCCAUCGUCCCACAGAAACAUACGGCGCAGAUGGAUUGAUCAGGCUGGUAGGGUAAGAUCUGAUCAAGACCCUUUGUUGCCAGAUCCAUGGUCGCGAAUUCCCCAGCCAAAUAGAUAGGCAUGGCCUGAUCCGAGCCGUUAGCGGCUAGAUCAACGGCACAUGAUCAUCUCCCUGCUCCCAGGCGCUCGGACGGGCGGCGCCGCCAAGCAUCCGCGGUGAAGUCCAUCGCCGCCCCAUGCGACACGCCGCCCAGGCGCACAACCCAUAAACCUGAUGAGGUCUUCGUGAAGCAUAAACAAUGGCGAUUACACAGGAAGUAGUUUUACCGACGGCGGUGGUGAGUGCGGUGCUGCCCACGGCGAGAUGCGGGCGUGAAUGUCGCUGAGUGGAUGAACAGGCGAACAGGUUGGUCCCGUGCGGCAGCGGGAGCGCGCGGAGGCGGGUGCCGACAGGAUCUCGGUGGCAGCAGUGCGGGCGAGCACCGAUGGAAAGGAGCUUGGGCACCGCUCACCGAAGAUCGAAAUCCACAGCGCCAUGGCGUGGUCGGUCCGGGUUUGUGCGUUAUCCUGAUGGAGGAAGGGGUCGCGGGGCAUUGCUUUAUAGCCAGGGGAGCGCGGAUUUCGGAGACCCGAUCCCGCCGGCAGGUUCGGACUCCAUUUGCGGUGUGCCGGUGACCACGCGAUAUUGGCGGAUUCUGUUGAAACGAGUCCUAAGCAAGGAGAUGGUUAUGACAGCCUGGCCCCACCUGCCGGUGUCUCGUGAUAACACAGGCACACGCAGACGCCGGAUGGAGCCGCCGAAUUGCGGGCCCCACGCCACAGUGAGCAGGGCCGAGCGCGCCUGGUGGGCUGGUUAGUGGCCGGAAGAGAUGGGGUGGUGGGCCGGAAUGUGAGGGUGUGGCCCAUGAGCUGGUUUUCUCUUUUUUUCUUUUCCAAUUCCAUUUCUAUUUUCUAUUUCUUCUCAUUUUCAUAUUUAGGUUUUGAAUUUGAAUUCAACUACGAAUAUGAAUUUUGUACUCAAACAGAUUUUAAUCUUACUAGUAUGGAUAGAGUUUUAUUAUGAAUUUUAUAAUAUUUCUUUUCUUCCUUUCUCCACAUCUUAAUUUCCAAAUUUAGAUUUAAAUACCUAUUUCACCAUUUGUAUAUUCCUAUUAUUAUUAUUUUUAAAUGCACAAUCAAAUAAAUGCCAACAUGAUGCAUGUUGUAUAAAUAUUUAUUAUUAUCUCAUUUAAGUAUCAUGUUUUUAAAUAUGCAAAUUCUCAUAAACAAAAAUAGUUGUUUUUAUGAGGAGCAAAUUUCUAGUGUACAACCUUUACUAGGAGGUGCUUUAUCUAAAUUUUAUAGUUCAAAUAAAAGAGGGAACCUAAUUCAUAUAGAUGUCCUUUAUUAGAAAACAUGUUUAUUUUAUAAAAGAGGAGAUUCUUUUCUAGGGGAUUUACUCAAAAAAAACUUUUGGAGAAUUUUACUAAAUUCUUAAGAGAAGAUUUUGAGGUCUUACAAAUCCUACCCCCUUAACAGAAAUCUCGUCCUCGAGAUUUGUAAGAAAGGGAUACAAUAAGUUUGGCUUGUAGUCUAGAUUUUAAUUUCUAAUUAGUUCUAGUACCAAAAGGUUUUUUUUAUCAAUUUAUCAGGUGAUUAGGAAGGCAUAUGUAUGGCAACCCCAUUAUGUAAGAUAAAAUAUGUCCUAGAAGUAUGAGUAGGCUUGGGUAAGAAAGAGUAGGGUAAAGAAAGACUCCAUCCAAGAUUGUGGAUCUUGAUUCCCUUAAGGAUCCAACUUGAUCCUUGAAGGCUUGAGUUGAUGCUUAUCCUUCUUUUGAUGUGGUUGGUCUUCUUUGGCCUUUAUUCUUGGAGUUGUCAUCCGAGUUAAGGACAUAUGGCUAAGGACAUAUAGUUAGGAUAGCCGAGGUACACGAGGUAGGUAGGUUUGAACAGAGUUUUACUUUGCUUUUGGAAUAGAUGAGCUAGGCAACCUAUGGUUAGGUUGUUGUUCACGAACGAGUUGGUAUAAGUCAUUAAUUUAGGUUAAGAUACGUUUGUAUAAGCAGUGUCUAAUUGAUAUUACCAGAUUAACCAGCCGGUUAAAUAAUUCAUUUAGACUGGAUCAUAUUAGAUUAGGUAGAAUCUAAAUUUGGUUGGAUAUAACUAGAUUAGACUAGUUUAAGUUAAUUAGACCUACCAGGGUAGAAUAUAUAUUAUUAGGAUAUGUUAGAAUCUUUUGAGGUUAGUUAGAUCUAUUAGGAUGAGAUAAAAUCUUUUCAAGAUAAGAUGAGUCUACUAGGGUAAUAGAGUAUCUUUAAGAUAAGAUGGAUCUAUUAAGGUAAGAGAAAGUCUUUUAAGAUAAGCUGGAUCUAUCAAAAUAAGAGAGUAUCUUUUAAGGUAAGAUGGAUCUAUUUGACAUAUUCUAGUGGGGGAAUAUUCUUAGUUGUUCUAGUUUAUCUUAUAAAUAUAUCUAGUUUAAUAGAUCCAUUUUUUUUAAUAGGAAAUAUUUUGUAUUGUCUAUUUUGUAAAUAUUUUCCCUUAUGUCUAGGUGUAUAUGUAGAUGUUAUUGUGGACAUUACUCCACAACCCAUCACAAUCAAUCAAAGAUCCAAAUCAGACAAGUAUCAUAAGAACAAACAUUCAAGCACAUAGAAAAAAAUAGUUUUGUUUUUGUUCCUAAGAAUAGGUCUCCUAUUCCUAAAGAUCACUUUAGGCACGGGAUUUCAAAGUGUGAAAUCCACAUUUGUCUUUGGAAGCAGAAAGGUAAGAGUAAUCAGAGUAAAGCGGAAAUAGAUGAGAAAAGAUUAAGAGAAGUUUAGAAAGAAUCAGAGUAGCAAGGUAAGUAGGUAAGGGUUGUCCAGUUCUAUCUAGGUUUCGUCCUACAGUCAACAUUCCUCUGAUACCACUUCUGUCACACCCGGAUUUCGGGGCACCAAGACCCGGGCGCGAACAUAAUCACCAGGUGUGCUGGGACCAAGUCUCACACAUAUGAUGAUUCAUGGCACAGGAUCGAAUGUCACAUCUUUACUAUAUAACAGGAGUUCUAUACAAAAUAAAUAAAUAAUUUCAUUAUAAGGAGACAACGGUCCAGCAACCCAAAGUUGACUGGGAGACGACGGCCUAGACCUCUCACGAACUCGCCACAGCAUCCUCCAUGCGCCUCAUCCUGCGGUACCUGUUCUUGACCUGUGGGGGGGUGUGAGACAGCAAGAGUGAGCUCACAUACGUUCAUCGCUCAACAAGUUGUGGGGAAUAAUGUGAAUGAACUCGCCAAAGAUGGGAGCUCAUGUGAAGUGUAAGGCUUACCAAAGAGGAUGGUUAGAGCUGAGCAUUGCUUUUAAAGUUGGUCAAAGUUUUAUUAGCAAUUACUAAGUAUAAGUAAAUACCAACCCAAUUAAAUAGUAGAACAGAAGUAACAUCACCUGCGAUGCAAUGCAUAUGACAAAUUGAAUUUAGUUCCAUAAGUUAAUCAUGUGAGGGUCCGAGCCGCUCAUGACCGUGAGCACAGCUAGUAUACCAGUUUUACACUCUGCAGAGGUUGCGCAUCUUUACCCACAAGUCAUGUUACCCAUCUGCCAAGGGAUCGCGACUUCCCAUACACCUCUACCGAGGAGGCGAGGCAGGGUAACACUACGAGGCCUUUACAAAGUUCCACUAGCUUCAGAAAACCCGCUACAGUUUAUAGGAAGCUCCAAUGCAGGAAUCCCUUGCAGGACCGCCAUCGCAGCAAAAUCCUCCCGAGGGCCUCCCUACACUGACCACUCCCCUACUGCCCUUGCCCCUUUCAGGUAAGGUAGUCUUCCACUAGCUUUCCUAAUUAAUCAGCCAAGGGCGUCCCAUUAAACCCUUGUGGUAGCACUGUUUUCCCAGGUGGUCGCUCCAUGUUCCAAUUAACAUAAUGAUCUUAUCAUGAACAGAAAUAAUAAACUGAUAAUAAAAGUGUAAUCAUGAAUAAUGUAUCUUCAUACCCAAAACCACAUAAAGCACUAGCAAGUACUACCCAAAAAGUUCAGUGGUAAACAAGGUAUAAAGAUAAUCAAACUAGGGUAACCUAUUGGGUCCCAUCAAAAUUAACCUAUGCAGAUCAUUAUGAUUAAUCAGAACAUGAGUAGGUAAAAAGAAGUGAUCAAGGGCACAACUUGCCUGGGACUUGAGAUUCCAGGUACCAACUUGCUCUUCAGCUGACUCGUGACCUCACUGCUAAACGUAGCAAUACAGACAAACAUUGUAUAGGCAAAAUUAACAUCACACUAAACAUAAGAACAAAUUGUAUAAUAAUGAUCUACGCGUCACUACGAGAUCGUGGGAUCGAGAACCACUAAAUUUGGGGUUACGGUUAUGAAGUUAUGGCUUUCCGAAGAUCCACGUGGUUAAGCACUUAAAACUAGACCUUAUGUUUAUUUAAUAGAUCAUAUGAGAGAAUAACCUAAAUGAAUAUUUAAUUCAACUUUAAGUUAAAUCAUAAUAUAAUUAGGGAUCAUAUUUUAGCCAAACUAUAAUUAUAAAUAGAUUAACUUUGAUUUCAGAGAGGUUAAUCUAGUAAACAUAGGUUAAAUGAAUAUCUAACUAUAAGUAUCAGAUAUGGUAUAAUUAAUGUUUUUAGUAUGUAGAGAAUAUUUUUAUGAAGCUAACGCAACUGGAACGGAGUAAAACAGAUUUAAAACGAGUAAGUUAUGCCAUAAACAAAUUUCUAGGUUUCCUAAUUAUUUAUUUUAACUCUGUAACGGUUUCUAGGGGUAUAUUUAAAAAGUCCAGGGACCCUAUUGUAAGUUUUACCUAAUACCGAGGAUGGCGGGUUUAUUAUGUGAAAACCGAGGGGCUCUUUAGAAAGUUUGCCUCGGCGAAGGGGUACGGGGAAACCAGAGUCGUUGGAUUAUAAUCCGAGGGUUCGGAUUAGAUCUUCAUCAGUUAUGAAGCGGUAUGACACGCGGACCGAUGGAUCGGUGAUCGACGGCCGAGAGUUAAAUAAAUGGAACUCGAUCCCCAUCGUCCCACAGAAACAUACGGCGCAGAUGGAUUGAUCAGGCUGGUAGGGUAAGAUCUGAUCAAGACCCUUUGUUGCCAGAUCCAUGGUCGCGAAUUCCCCAGCCAAAUAGAUAGGCAUGGCCUGAUCCGAGCCGUUAGCGGCUAGAUCAACGGCACAUGAUCAUCUCCCUGCUCCCAGGCGCUCGGACGGGCGGCGCCGCCAAGCAUCCGCGGUGAAGUCCAUCGCCGCCCCAUGCGACACGCCGCCCAGGCGCACAACCCAUAAACCUGAUGAGGUCUUCGUGAAGCAUAAACAAUGGCGAUUACACAGGAAGUAGUUUUACCGACGGCGGUGGUGAGUGCGGUGCUGCCCACGGCGAGAUGCGGGCGUGAAUGUCGCUGAGUGGAUGAACAGGCGAACAGGUUGGUCCCGUGCGGCAGCGGGAGCGCGCGGAGGCGGGUGCCGACAGGAUCUCGGUGGCAGCAGUGCGGGCGAGCACCGAUGGAAAGGAGCUUGGGCACCGCUCACCGAAGAUCGAAAUCCACAGCGCCAUGGCGUGGUCGGUCCGGGUUUGUGCGUUAUCCU